rnacentral:ncRNA from 2 species
GUUCGUCUUCAGGGCAGGGUGCAAUUCCCGACCGGCGGUAAAGUCCGCUACCCGCAUUUGCGGUUGACCCGGUGUAACUCCGGGACCGAUAGUAUAGUCUAGAUGGAAGAAGAUGGGG